rnacentral:rRNA from 1 species
GACGAACGCUGGCGGCGUGCUUAACACAUGCAAGUCGAACGAAGUGGCGCACGGGUGAGUAACGCGUAUUCACCCUGCCCUUCAGAGGGGGACAACAUUUGAAAACGACUUCUAAUACCGCAUACUGCAGUAGGGUAUUGCGUUGGAUUAGCUAGUUGGGGGGGUAACGGCGCACCAAGGCGAUGAUCAGUAGCCGAGCUGAGAGGAUGAUCGGCCACAUUGGGACUGAGACACGGCCCAGACUCCUACGGGAGGCAGCAGUGGGGAAUCUUCCGCAAUGGACGAAAGUCUGACGGAGCAACGCCGCGUGAGUGAUGACGGCUUUCGGGUUGUAAAGCUCUGUUAAUCGGGACGCGGUACCUGAAUAGAAAGCCACGGCUAACUACGUGCCAGCAGCCGCGGUAAUUC